rnacentral:rRNA from 1 species
GACGAACGCUGGCGGCGUGCCUAAUACAUGCAAGUAGGACGCAGUUGCGCACGGGUGAGUAACGCGUAGGUAACUGCCUCUUAGAGGGGGAUAACUCUUGGAAACGAUAGCUAAUACCGCAUACUAGUAGAUGGACCUGCGUUGUAUUAGGUAGUAGGUAGGGUAAUGGCCUACCUAGGCGACGAUACAUAGCCGACCUGGGAGGGGGAUCGGCCACACUGGGACUGGGGCAAGGCCCAGAAUCCUUAGGGAGGGAGCAGGAGGGAAUCUUCGGCAAUGGGGGGAACCCUGACCGAGCAACGGCGCGGGAGUGAAGAAGGUUUUCGGAUCGUAAAGCUCUGGUGUUAAGGAAGCGGUACUUAACCAGAAAGGGACGGCUAACUACGUGCCAGCAGCCGCGGUAAUAC